CAACCUCAACUCAUAUGGGACUACCCCCUGAAUUUAAGCAUAUUAAUUAGGGGAGGAAAAGAAACUAACAAGGAUUUUCUUAGUAGCGGCGAGCGAAAAGAAAUCAGUUCAGCACUAAGUCACUUUGUCUAUAUGGCAAAUGUGAGAUGCAGUGUACGGAACAUCAACAUUCUAGUAUGAGAAGUUAACGAUUUAAGUCCUUCUUAAAUGAGGCCAUUUACCCAUAGAGGGUGCCAGGCCCGUAUAACGUUAAUGAUUACUAGAUGGUGUUUCCAAAGAGUCGUGUUGCUUGAUAGUGCAGCACUAAGUGGGUGGUAAACUCCAUCUAAAACUAAAUAUAACCAUGAGACCGAUAGUAAACAAGUACCGUGAGGGAAAGUUGAAAAGAACUCUGAAUAGAGAGUUAAAUAGUACGUGAAACUGCUUAGAGGUUAAGCCCGAUGAACCUGAAUAUCCGUUAUGGAAAAUUCAUCAUUAGAAUUGUAAUAUUUUAAACAAUAUUAUAAUAAUAGUGUGCAUUUUUUCCAUAUAAGGACAUUGUAAUCUAUUAGCAUAAAUAUUUAUCAUAAAAUUAUGUCUGAUUGCUUAUUUGAAUUAUAUGCUUGGCAUUUUAACAUAAAAUAAAAGAUAUAAAUUUGAUAAAGUGCUGAUAGAUUUAUAUGAUUACAGUGCGUUAAUUUUUCGGAAUUAUAUAAUGGCAUAAUUAUCAUUGAUAUUUGUGUUUAUUAUAUGCAUUUGUAUGAUUAACAAUGCGAAAGAUUCAGGAUACUUCGGGACCCGUCUUGAAACACGGACCUAAGGAGUCUAACAUAUGUGCAAGUUAUUGGGAUAUAAACCUAAUAGCGUAAUUAACUUGACUAUUAAUGGGAUUAGUUUUUUAAAUAUUUAUAGUUAAUUAACGCAAUCCCGGGGCGCUCUAUAUAGUUAUGUAUAAUAAUAUUUAUAUUAUUUAUGCCUCUAAUUGGAACGUACCUUGAGCAUAUAUGCUGUGACCCGAAAGAUGUUGAACUCUACUUGAUCUGGUUGAAGUCAGGCGAAACCUUGACGGAAGACCGAAACAGUUCUAACGUGCCAAUCGCUUGUCAGACAUUGAGUAUAGGGGCGAAAGACCAAUCGAUCCAUUUAGUAGAUGGUUCCUUCAAAAGUUUCCAUCAGGAUAGAUGGAUGCACUCACACGUUGUAUAAAAUAAUCUUAUCUAGUAAAGAGAAUGAUUAGAGGCUUUAGGGUGUAAACGAUCUUAACAUCUUAUCAUACUUUAAAAGGGUAUGAACCUCAACUAUCUUGAUAUGAAGUUUAAGAUUAUGAUAUAACGUGCCCACUGGCCCCCUAUUUGUCAGCCGAACGGUCGUUGUGGGAGGAUCCAAAGG
rnacentral:ncRNA from 1 species